rnacentral:rRNA from 1 species
UACGUAGGGUGCGAGCGUUAAUCGGAAUUACUGGGCGUAAAGCGAGUGUAGGCGGUUUGGUAAGUCGGAUGUGAAAGCCCUGGGCUCAACCCAGGAAGUGCAUUCGAUACUGUCAAGCUAGAGUAUCGGAGAGGUUGGUGGAAUUCUCGGUGUAGAGGUGAAAUUCGUAGAUAUCGAGAGGAACACCGGUGGCGAAGGCGGCCAACUGGACGAAUACUGACGCUGAGACUCGAAAGCGUGGGGAGCAAACAGG